GUGGGGAAUUUUGGACAAUGGGCGAAAGCCUGAUCCAGCAAUGCCGCGUGUGUGAAGAAGGCCUUCGGGUUGUAAAGCACUUUUGGCAGGGAACAAACAGUGCGUGCUAAUACCAUGCGCGAAUGACGGUACCUGCAGAAUAAGCACCGGCUAACUACGUGCCAGCAGCCGCGGUAAUACGUAGGGUGCAAGCGUUAAUCGGAAUUACUGGGCGUAAAGCGUGCGCAGGCGGUUUUGUAAGACGGAUGUGAAAGCCCCGGGCUCAACCUGGGAAGUGCAUUCGUGACUGCAAGGCUAGAGUGUGUCAGAGGGAGGUGGAAUUCCGCGUGUAGCAGUGAAGUGCGUAGAGAUGCGGAGGAACACCGAUGGCGAAGGCAGCCUCCUGGGAUAACACUGACGCUCAGGCACGAAAGCGUGGGGAGCAAACAGGAUUAGAAACCCCUGUAGUCC
rnacentral:rRNA from 1 species